rnacentral:lncRNA from 1 species
GAUGAGGAUGGUACUCCUCCUCUUGGUCUGGAUAUCAGUAGCUCAGGCCCAACAAUCCUAUGUCAACAACCACCAGCUUGACUGUGACAACAACUUCAAUGAGACGAAUGGAUUCCAGUGCAACGGGCCUAGAUCAUGCCAUUCCUACCUGACCUUCCGAUCUGCCCCUCCUUCGUACGACAGCCCACCCUCCAUAGCCUACCUCUUGAAUUCCGAACCAGCUCAGAUCGCCACCAUUAACGAAGUUUCCGAUGUUGACACAAUCUCCAAGGACACCGUCCUGAUUGUCCCAGUCAACUGUUCCUGUUCAGGUGAUUUCUAUCAACACAACACCACCUACACCUUGAAAUCUGCUUCCGAGACUUACUUCUCCCUCGCCAACAACACCUACCAAGGCCUCACCACUUGCCAGGCCCUCAAGGCUCAGAACCCUUAUGACUAUCGGAACCUCUCGGUGGGGUUGCAUCUGCAGGUUCCGCUCAUGUGCGCCUGCCCCACUGCGAAUCAGACCGCCGCCGGAUUUAACUACUUGCUUUCUUAUCUCGUCACCUGGGGCGAUACUAUCGAUUCAAUCGCUAAAAUCUUUGGUGUGGAUGACGUGCAGUCCAUAUAUGAUGCCAAUCGCCUCUCUUCUACUAGCGUUAUUUACCCCUUCACCCCCAUUCUCGUCCCGCUUAAGAAUCCUCCCUCCAAGAUCCAAACUACCGUCUCUUCGCCUCCGGCACCGUCUCCAGAAACCCCCAUGGUCCCCUCUGGCGGAGGCAGUAAUUCUUCCAAGAAAUGGGUUUUCAUUGGGGCUGGUAUUGGAGCCGCUUUACUCGUUCUUUUAAUCUCCUCUGGAAUGAUGUUUUGCUUCUUUCGCCGUCGCCGCCAAUCUGGACAAGACAAGCCAGUUUUGGACUUGGGAGAAGCUACCAAGCUUUCAAAAUCCCUGGAAAACAAAACAUCUAUGUCUAUUUCUCUAGAAGGGAUUCGUAUUGAAAUGGAGUCCCUCACCGUGUACAAGUAUGAAGAGUUGCAGAAGGCUGCUGGGUAUUUUGGUGAAGCUAACAGAAUCAAGGGUUCUGUCUAUAGGGCCUCGUUUAAGGGCGAUGAUGCGGCCAUAAAGAUGAUGAAAGGAGAUGUGUCUGAAGAGAUCAACAUUCUAAAGCAGAUCAACCACAGCAAGGUGAUCAGGCUUUCAGGUUUCUGCAUACAUGCAGGGAACACCUACCUUGUUUAUGAGUAUGCAGAGAAUGGGGCUCUGAGAGACUGGCUUCAUGGUGAUGGUGAAACUUGUUCUACUCUGGGGUGGAAACAGAGGGUUCAAAUAGCCUAUGAUGCAGCGGAUGCCCUGAAUUACCUCCACAACUUCAUCAGUCCCCCAUGUAUACACAAGAACUUGAAGAUCAGCAACAUCCUCUUGGAUGGUAACAUGAGAGGCAAGGUCACCAAUUUUGGACUGGCAAGGCGAUUGGGGAAUGAAGAGGGAGAUGGAGGGGGGCUGCAACUGACGAGACAUGUGGUGGGGACUCAGGGUUACAUGGCUCCCGAGUACGUAGAGAAUGGUGUGGUUACCCCAAAACUAGAUAUUUUUGCUUUCGGUGUUGUGAUAUUAGAGCUGUUAACUGGCAAGGAAGCUGCGCCUUCUCAAAAGAAAGAAGGAGGGGAGUUGUUAUCUGUGUCAAUAAAUGAGGUGCUUCAAGGGGAUAAUGUGAGAGACAAACUGAGAGGCUUCAUUGAUCCUUGCCUUGCCCAUGAGUACCCCUUUGAUUUGGCUUUCUCCAUGGCCCAGCUCGCCAAGUCAUGUGUUGCCCAUGACCUUAAUGCUCGCCCAACCAUGUCUGACAUUUUCGUUAUCCUCUCCAAGAUUCUCUCCUCCUCUUUGGACUGGGAUCCAUCUGAUGAUUUUCAAGCCUCUGGCUCUCUAAGCCAUGGUAGAUAGGCAACCUUUAUUUUUUAUAUUUUUUGUUUUUUGGCGCAUCCAUAUAUCCUAUAUGGAAGUUUACAAUGAGACGAAUCCACUCACAAUAGUGGUGAUUUUGUGAGCUUCUGCUUGAUACAAGUCACACCUCGCACUUAUCGUUUUUUCUCCUCUAGAAACUAGAAAUGGAAUGUAAAAGUAGGCAUGAAGGAGCUGCCAUGCCAGAUGAAAUUACAGUGAUUGCAAUGAAAUUUAAAGUAUUAUCCGUGUUCCCCUGCUGGGGUUUAAAACAACUCACUCUGGAAAUUCAAACUGUCCUCUGUUUUAAUAAAGAGCAUAUGAAUACUUCUGCAUGCAAUUGGUAAAAUUGACAGAUAUGCUUCCAUCUCAAGCAAACUUACAUGCUAUUUUUCACUUUGCAUGGUUGCUCUUUCAUCUAGUUUUAAGAUUUGGAUGAAAUGCUGGGAAAUCAUGUAGGGUGUCAAGUUUGGUUGGGCACUGUAAACCACCGGGCAAUCAGCUUUGAGAGGAUUCAUUCAGUAAAGUGAGAUUGUCAAUUGACAGGCUAGUUGGAGGGAAUCGUUUGUAGCUGAGGUCUGAGAUCAUGCAUGAAGUUGCUGGGUUAUCUGAUUGAUCUUGUCGUAGAAAAUGACAUGAGGAGGGCAUACUUAUCUUAAUCUUGAUUCCAAGAUGGAUGGCGUUUCUUUUCUAUUUCAGCAACUACCCUUAAUCUUGUCAUCUUGGUUCUAGCAGGUGAAGAUGCCACUGCUUUUUCCUGUGUGUCCAAGUCAGGGUUUUUUUUUUUUCUGACAGAUGUUGUAACAUCAGCAUUCUCUGACCAUUUGGAGUUUUAAUCCUCUAGUGUUUCAAACUUUCCCUCCAAUUUGAAGACUCUGAAUACAUGCUGUAGCUUCACAACCAGGCGGUAGAUGUUGGCUGUGAUAUUUUGGGCCUACCAUCAUUUGCAGACAUAUCACAGACAGGAGAAUUCAAGAUGAAUUAUUCCUCAAUCUCAAGAUUAUGUUCUUGCUCAGGCCUUGUCAGGUGUGACCUUAUAUUAUUCUAAUUUCUACAUGCAGGGCAGAUGCUCAGUAUAAACCCUGCCUGCUUCUCCUUCAUCCGCAUCCACGUGUUCCUUGCCUCGCUCCACAUUUCCAAUAUCUCCAGCAAGUAUGACAUUUCUUAAUUUAAGAAGUGCUCUGCAUACAAAGAACCUUAGAAUGAAACAAACAUCUCAUAAAAGUAGAAAUACAGGUUUUUCUUGGUAAGAGAAAAAAGAAGAAAAAUUAUUUAGAGAAAGAACGCUUUAAAUUGUAUUAUUGCGAGUCAUGGGGGAAUCCAAGUCAUUUUUAUGGUUUCCAAAGAACGGUAGAGAACGGAUUGAAAUUUGGGGAGGUCAGCCCGGGGCUAUUCCUCUUGUUCUUCUUCUGGAAAGAGGAAUGUUCGUAAUAUACAUCAAUCAAUGUUAUGUGAAAACAAGAAGAAAAUACGUUAAUGGGAAAUAUGAAAACAAGUAAAUGCCGAGUUGGAGGAUGAAGAAAAACGAAAUUGGAGGCGAGGCCUUUACAGUUGCGUGAGGGCAUGGGGAGGAAGAGGCCAAUAGAUGGAGCAGUCAGCCGUCAAGGUCAAGGUGGGGGCAAAGCACUAGGACUUUGGAGUCAAGUCAGUCAAAUGAGCACUUAGGACUUUGGAGUCAAAUCAGUCAAAUAAGCACUCAGGAGGCUCUGAAUUGGAAUUCCACAGCACGGCAAGAGUUGCAGAUUAGAGACUCUUCUCUCCUGAUCUAUAACUAUUUAAGUAUGCUGUCUUGCAUGCACAUGCCCAUGUACACUCUGGAGAAUAUGCAUAAUAAUAGUCCAUCUCAUGUAAAAUGUUGGUGGUGGAGGGUGGUUCUCAUCCACUGGUUCUUGGUAUCAGGACUGCAGGCCCAACAAGCCUACCUCAACAACGAUCAGCUUGACUGCGACAACAACUCUAAUAAUACCAAGGGAUUCGUCUGCAACGGCCCUCGCAAAUAAUAUCUUUCCUACCUCACCUUUCGAUCCGCUCCACUAUCCUACGACUCCCCACCUUCCAUAGCCUAUCUCCUCAACUCCAACCCCUCUGAUAUCGCCACCAUUAACCAAAUCUCGGAUGUUAACAAGAUCCCCAAGGACACUGUCCUCAUUGUCCCGGUCAAUUGUUCUUGUUCAGGCCAUUUCUACCAGUACAACGCCUCCUACACCUUGAAGUAUGAUUUCGAGAAUUACUUCACCCUCGCCAACAACACCUACCAAGGCCUCACCACUUGCCAGGCACUCAAGGCUCACAACCCAUAUUACUAUCGAAACCUUUCCGUGGGUAUGGACCUGCUGGUUCCUCUCAUGUGCGCCUGCCCCACCGCCAACCAGACCGCCGCCGGCUUCAACUACUUGCUC